rnacentral:lncRNA from 1 species
CGGACUAUCCGCAGUUGAUUGACUCAAGACCGAGUCGAGUGGCAUAGUUGGCUAAGGUAAUGUAACCAUAAGAAAGAAUGGCAAAUGAGACUAAUAUGGCUAAGGUGUGACUACCCUUAGUAAAGAAUAAAGAAUAAAGAAUAAAGAGUAAAGACUAGAGAAUAAAGAACGGCUAAUGUUAGAGAAUGGCACAUGCUAAAGAAUAGCUAAUAAUGUAAAGAAUGAUUAACAAUAAAGAUUUGCUAAGAGUAAAGAAUGGUUAAGAAUAAAGAGUAGAAUCAAUAAUCUACUUUCAUGAGUUGCAUGAUUUGCAUAUUGCAUAUUCGUGAGGCAUGUUAUCUGUUAGUUGCAUAAUUACAUGAUGAUAUAUAUACCUGUAGAUGUUUUUGGACUAACAUGAUUGCAGUGCCUCCUUGGACCUAUCAGUCGAGCUUUUCACUUGGGUGGCUGUACCCACUGACGACUAUGGACAAUAGUCUCACCCCCGUGUUGUUGUUUUUGGGGGUACAGGUUCACACGCGAGCGGCGCGGCGGCGCGAGGAAAGGGCGUAGCUCCGUAGUUAGCGCCCUACCACAGAGACCAGAUAGCAGCACCCUAAGUCGGCUUCUUAGGGGUAUAAGAAAAGAAAAGAAAAGAAUCGAUGUUGUAAUAUUAUGUUUAGAAAUCGAUUGUAUAUUUGGAAGUUGAGAAUCAAUGUAAUGAAAAAUGCGAUGUAAAAUGAUGAGAUGAAUGAUUGUAAUAAUAUAGGAUGUGUUAUGUUGUUUGAUACCUUCCUUAUGCAAUCGUUGUUGAAAAUUGUUCCUGUUUGGAACCUCUUGUAAUUGUAUUGAUUGCGACGCCUUGAACGUACAGGGGAGACUCUGUCCGCAUGCAGGGGAAACCCUGUCCGUUCGGCGGUCUGUUGGCGUGCCCGAAUCCGACCAAAGAGGCGGGCUCGGGGCGUGACAAC